rnacentral:rRNA from 1 species
GAUGAACGCUGGCGGCGUGCCUAAUACAUGCAAGUCGAGCGAAUGGAUUAAGAGCUUGCUCUUAUGAAGUUAGCGGCGGACGGGUGAGUAACACGUGGGUAACCUGCCCAUAAGACUGGGAUAACUCCGGGAAACCGGGGCUAAUACCGGAUACCAUUUUGAACCGCAUGGUUCGAAAUUGAAAGGCGGCUUCGGCUGUCACUUAUGGAUGGACCCGGGUCGCAUUAGCUAGUUGGUGAGGUAACGGCUCACCAAGGCAACGAUGCGUAGCCGACCUGAGAGGGUGAUCGGCCACACUGGGACUGAGACACGGCCCAGACUCCUACGGGAGGCAGCAGUAGGGAAUCUACCGCAAUGGACGAAAGUCUGACGGAGCAACGCCGCGUGAGUGAUGAAGGCUUUCGGGUCGUAAAACUCUGUUGUUAGGGAAGAACAAGUGCUAGUUGAAUAAGCUGGCACCUUGACGGUACCUAACCAGAAAGCCACGGCUAACUACGUGCCAGCCGCCGCCGUAA